AGUUAACGACUUGUGAAACGAUGAAUUGAAUGUCGUUAAUUAAAAGGUAACUUUUUACCAUGGAGAGAGAAAGUAAAGUGAGCAACUUUGUCAGAAGAGAGGAGAGAGAUUAAUGGAAAAAGAGGUUGAAAUUGAACAAUGAAGGAGAAAGCAAAGAAAAUUUAGCAUUAAUAGCUCGAUCGAGAAGGCCAUUACAAUUCUGGAAGUAAAGAGGUUUACUCGAACUAGUAAUGGUUUAAUUGAGGUAAGUGAAGUUAAAUUAUUCAGGGUAAUGGUUUAAUUGUGCAAAAUUCAUGUGGGUAAAGCUAAUUUAUUGGUUUGAUUGAGGGGGAUUUGAUGUGGACAAAUUAGGCUAACUGGAAUUAGUAAUGGAUUAAUUGAGGGAAGUCAUGUUAAAUUGUGCGAUAAUUCUGGACUCCUACUCGCCACUUCUGGUUGUUGUCACUGAGGCAAGGGUUUGGAAGCCAAUGCUGAAAUUCGUACACAGUGAGCUAAAGGGAAACUUCAAGGUUGAGGUUGUUGGGCCAAAUGAGUGUUGUGUUUCUGGGCGACGGAAGCUUCUCCAUACUUCUCUUGCAUGAAGAAUACGUUAUACGAAGAGGUUAUGUCAGCAAACAUCAUAGUUGAAACUUUGCUAAACGUUGGAUUCCAACCAAGCAAAUGGUUGAUUGACAUUGGAAGGGCAGACCUACCACAAGGCAACAUUUGAAUAAAUAAUAACUCAUCAAAAUGAUUUACACCAUUUUGGUUUUAGCAGGGAUUGUAAGGACAUGCCUUGUAGUGAUGAUCAAAUUUUAUGUGAU